AUCCGAGUGCUGGAAUCGGUAGACAGAGUAAACUUAAAAUUUAUUGAUUAAUAUCGUGAAGGUUCAAGUCCUUUUUCGGAUA
rnacentral:tRNA from 1 species